GACGAACGCUGGCGGUGUGCUUAACACAUGCAAGUCGAACGGUAAGGCCCUUUCGGGGGUACACGAGUGGCGAACGGGUGAGUAACACGUGAGUAACCUGCCCUCAUCUCUGGGAUAACAGUCGGAAACGGUUGCUAAUACUGGAUAUGAGCUUGCAAGGCAUCUUGUGGGUUGGAAAGAUUUUUUUUGGUUGGGGAUGGACUCGCGGCCUAUCAGCUUGUUGGUGAGGUAGUGGCUCACCAAGGCUUCGACGGGUAGCCGGCCUGAGAGGGCGACCGGCCACAUUGGGACUGAGAUACGGCCCAAACUCCUACGGGAGGCAGCAGUGGGGAAUACUGCACAAUGGACGGAAGUCUGAUGCAGCAACGCCGCGUGCGGGAUGACGGCCUUCGGGUUGUAAACCGCUUUCAAUUGUGACGAAGCUUUUUUGUGACGGUAGCAGUAGAAGAAGCACCGGCUAACUACGUG
rnacentral:rRNA from 1 species